UACGUAGGGCGCAAGCGUUGUCCGGAAUUAUUGGGCGUAAAGAGCUCGUAGGCGGUUUGUCGCGUCUGUCGUGAAAGCUUGGGGCUUAACCCCAAGUCUGCGGUGGAUACGGGCAGACUAGAGGCAGGUAGGGGAGAACGGAAUUCCCGGUGUAGCGGUGAAAUGCGCAGAUAUCGGGAGGAACACCGGUGGCGAAGGCGGUUCUCUGGCCUGUACUGACGCUGAGGAGCGAAAGCGUGGGGAGCGAACAGG
rnacentral:rRNA from 1 species